AGAGUUUGAUCCUGGCUCAGGAUGAACGCUGGCGGCGUGCCUAAUACAUGCAAGUCGAACGAGAACCUGGAUUCGUCUAGGGGACAGUGGCGGACGGGUGAGUAACACGUAGAUGACCUGCCUCGAAGCAGGGGACAACCCGCCGAAAGGCGAGCUAAUACCCUAUAAGCUCACGAGCUUUAGAACCUUGUGAGAAAAGCUCCGACGCUUGGAGAGGGGUCUGCGGGCCAUCAGGUAGUUGGCGGGGUAACAGCCCACCAAGCCGGUGACGGCUAGGGGACCUGAGAGGGUGAUCCCCCACACGGGAACUGAGAAACGGUCCCGACUCCUACGGGAGGCAGCAGUAAGGGAUAUUGCACAAUGGGCGCAAGCCUGAUGCAGCAACGCCGCGUGCAUGAUGAAGGCCUUCGGGUCGUAAAAUGCUUUUCUGGCUGAAGAGGACGGACCGUAAGCCAGAAUAACG
rnacentral:rRNA from 1 species